rnacentral:lncRNA from 1 species
UUUGAUUCAGUUUUAAAUGUGCAAUUCUUGUUAAGUUUUUAAAGUAGGUUGUUAUAUAGUUUUGAGUGGUUCUGUAUGGUGUAACAAGUUUUAAUUCUAUAAAACAUUUCUAGUAACCAUUAAAUCAAAACAGUAAGUAUAUAUGCAACGACCAUCAUACGAAGUUAAUUGAACUAUAUGUUGUUUGUUGAUAAGUUUGUGUGAGAAAAUCAUUAUAACUUAAGAAUAAGGAAAUGCUAAUACUGGAUACCAUUCAGGUUUUAUUGAUUUAAAAAUUCUUGUAGAUGCAAUGUAGGGGAAUCAGUUCAUACUUUGAUUCAG